UGUAGGUCAGUGGUAGAGUACCCGAUUUGUAUGCAGAUGGUCCCAGGUUCAAUCCUUGGCAUCUCAA